rnacentral:pre_miRNA from 1 species
CAUAUACUCCCUCCGUCCGGAAAUACUUAUCAUCAAAAUGAAUAAAAGGGGAUGUAUCUAGAUGUAUUUUAGUUCUAGAUACAUCCUUUUUUGUCCAUUUUGAUGACAAGUAUUUUCGGACGGAGGGAGUACCAC